rnacentral:rRNA from 1 species
GAUGAACGCUGGCGGCGUGCCUAAUACAUGCAAGUCGAGCGAACAGACGAGGAGCUUGCUCCUCUGACGUUAGCGGCGGACGGGUGAGUAACACGUGGAUAACCUACCUAUAAGACUGGGAUAACUUCGGGAAACCGGAGCUAAUACCGGAUAAUAUAUUGAACCGCAUGGUUCAAUAGUGAAAGACGGUUUUGCUGCCACUUAUAGAUGGAUCCGCGCCGCAUUAGCUAGUUGGUAAGGUAACGGCUUACCAAGGCAACGAUGCGUAGCCGACCUGAGAGGGUGAUCGGCCACACUGGAACGGAGAAACGGUCCAGCCUCCUAGGGGAGGCAGCAGUAGGAAAUCUUCCGCAAUGGGCGAAAGCCUGACGGAGCAACGCCGGGGGAGGGAUGAAGGGCUUCGGAUCGUAAAACGCUGUUAUUGGGGAAAAAAAAAUGUGUAAGUAACUAUGCACGUUUUGACGGUACCUAAUAAGAAAGCCACGGCUAACUACGU